GGUUAGGUUGUGAACAAGUCCCUCCAGAGCAUGUUUGUCAAUUGUUUGUUCACCAAACACAGAGGAGGAGAGAUCAAGUGAAACCAAUUUUGACAGGUGGGAGACUUGGGAUGGGACUUCUCCUGCAAACCCUGUAUAAGAAAGGUUGAGGUAGAAUAGGCUAGUAAACCGACCGAACUCGGAUGGAAUUUUGGAAAGAUUAAAAUCAUUGUAGGCAAGGUUGAGUUUUUGAAGGUGAGGAAGAAGGAAGAGAGUGGUAUUGGAAGGGAAGUUGCCAUAUAGCCAACUGCAGCUCAAGUCAAGGGCAAUAACAUGAGCAUUUAGGUGGUCACAAGUGACCCCAUCCCAUGAGCAGCAAUCUGUACCCUCCUUCCAUGAAUUUGUCUUGGGAUAAGAUUUAAGGCCAGCAUAAUCAUUGCAAUAAGAAGAAACAUCCUCUGUUACGGAAAAAGAGUCCUUAAACUGGAUUAGGGAAGAGCAGGAGUGAGAUCCUGAAGAAGAAAAAGAAGCAUAAAGAUGGGGAAAGAAGAGGAAUAGGCAGAGAAAGAGAUAGGGGGCCAUGUUAUGUUUGUAGAGAAAGAAGAAGGAUAGGAAUGGUAUUUGUAGGCAACAAAUAGUACCACAACAUUGGUGUUACAGUAUUUUUUUUUUCUUUUACAUUGAAAAGCUAUGGAUAUUAGAUUUUCAAAAAUUUUGUAUUUUUCACCAUCAUCAACAACCACUUAGUCUUCUUUUUACCAUAUAUUUUUCAUUCUAUUUUUUUAACAAAAUCUUGUAUUUCAUUUCAGCUUUCAAAACAACUAAAAAAUUUAAAAUUGAUGAAAUUACAAAGUAGAUUGACUUAGUCUUCUUUCCUAUAACAUUUAAAAGAAUAUCUUGUCAACCAAAGUUAAUUAAUGUGAAAAUUCUUUUUCACACAAAAGAACAAAAUUGUGCUCUAUUCACUAAGUUAGAGGAAAAAGACUGCUAGAUUUUUUAAUUAUUUUUUCUUUGAAAAAUUUGAAAGUUUUUUACUGCCUUUAAGCCAAUAAAAAAAACAUGUAUUAAUUUUGUUUUUAAAAAUAGUGUGUUUGAUUGUGAAAUGAUUCAUCAUCCUCCACCACAAACUAUCCAUAUUUGCAGUGUGAAAGCAGCUACUUUCAUAAAGAAAUUACUUAGGAGAUGGGAUCCACCAAUUUUACCUAAACUCGCAUCAACAUUGUUUAGCAAUUUCAAAAUAGACUAAUUAGUCUGGUUCAAAUACCAAGACUACAAUAUCUAUUCACUUCACUUGGUCUUGCUUCCUAUCGCUGUCAGCCAAACUUGAUCGACUAGCAGUAAGGAAAUUUCAGUCAUUUGCAGCAUAAUGUACAAGAAUUCCACUCCCGCAAAAUAAUUUACAAUAUGGACUAACACACUAAAAAUGAUUUUUAAAAAAUGAUUUUUAGAAAGUAAUUUUUGAAAAAUGGUUAGAAGAUAAUUUUUGUUUCUGAAAUAGUUAAUUUUUUUUGGUGUUUAGAUAAAUUUUGUUAUGUUUUCAUUGUUUACUUGAGUUUAUUUCAUAAAGCUUAUGUAUAUAUUUUAAUUAAUCAUGUUUUAGUUUUAAUUAAUCUUAAUUUACUUAAUUAAGCUUAAUUGUUAACUUCGUACAUUAGAAUAUAAAUUUAUGUUUAAUUAAGUUGAAAGUGAUAAAUAUUUAUUUUGAAUAUUAUUUGGAUAAGUUGAAAAAUGAUUUAAUUUGAUAAAAUUGAAGUCAGGGUCAUAGAACUAUGCUUUUUACUGACAAAAUCUUAGAUGCAGUGAUUAUUGAGACUAAAAAAUGAAAGUCAUGAAAGAAGACAUAAAUAGUUGAACCAUACAAAAUGUUACAUUUUGUAAUGCAAUGAAAUAUAGAUGAAUUGUUACAAAUAUAAAGACAGAUGCAUUGCAAUGCAACCUUUCUCCAUAGGAAAAAAAAUUUGACAGACUUCAAAACAAGAAAUUAUGAAGAUACAACAUACACACUUGAACAUCAUUUCCACUAACUAGAUCCUUCUUCGUCCAUUGCUGCGACUGCCAUCCUUUGACUUUCUUCUUCGCUACUUCUCAUGUUGGAUUCAACCAAAUUCACCAACCAUUUUGGCUUACUAAUUUGGAAAACAACAUAUCCCACGACCAUUCCAAACACUACUCCGCAUCCAUAACCUAUCAACACCAAUUUCCAACCAAAAGAGAUGUUUGAUUUUGAACCAUCUUUUCCAAGCACAUUUGGAGGUGGUGGCUCAAUGAUGUUGCAACCUUUUGAGACCGGAAAUCCACAUAAUCCCUUGUUUCCUUCAUAUGAAUCAUUUCCAUAUGUGUUGAACUGUUUGCCUUGAGGAAUCUGACCAUGGAGUUGAUUUUCAGAAACAUUGAAGGACGAAAGAAAUGCCAGAUCUGCAAAUCUAUUUCGAAUUGUCCCUGACAACCUGUUUGAAUAUAGGUCCAACCAUUCAAGACUCGUCAAAUUCCCUAUUGAAGUGGGGAUACCACCGUUAUAAACACUGUCAUAUGGCAUGAAUAACAUACUCAUAUAUUUACUGUCACAUGGCAUGAAAAACACACCCUCAUAUUCACUUUCACAUUAGUCAUCAUAAGCUUAUAACAUAUGUCAUAGCAAUCUCAUAUAUAUUCAUAAUUUCACAAUUUCACAAGCGUACAUAUAUCACAUUUAAUCAUAUGCGCGAGAAAACUUACUCUCACUUACUCUUGGAAUUUAGAGUAGGAAUUUAGGCUACCACUAAAUUCUCAUCAAUUAAACAAUGAAUCAUCUACGAGCAACAAUUUCAAACCACAAUGAAUCGAGAGCUCAAACUAGCUCUUCCUCUAACUCGUAGAAGGCUUUAAUGAAUCCGAGGCUUCACACAUGACAAUCACACAAUACUCACAGUCAAAUGACAGCCAAGGACCCACUUAAACUAACCAAAAUAAAAGCCUAAGCUACCUUCUAAUGUAACCAAACCCUUUAGCAUGACGAACUUAAAAUGCAAAUAUAUCAAUCUACACUUAAACAUUUUCACAUGAAACAAGUUUCAGUCAUCCCCCAUAUUCAUUUAUAGCUAAACUCCAAUCUUUAAACCACACAAAACUACAAGUUUCAAGGUAUAACAUUUUUCCACAAAUUUUGACCAUAAUAAUGAAAAUUCAUUAAAACACGGGAAAUCUAUAAUGAAACUUAGAAGUAAUUUUAAAAAACUUCUAAUUAAGUUAAAACAAGUUGAAAAACACUUUUAAAUCACUUUUUCAUCCACAAUCUCGAAUUCCACCAUUAAUGACCCAAUUUUUAGGUUUAAAUUAAAACAUGCAAUUUCAUAACUAAAAUCUCAAUUUUAAAGUCUAGAUAACAUUAAAAACUAAUGAGAAAGUAAAUGGUUACCUUUGAUGAAAGAUUAAACGAGUUUUGAAGUAAAUUUGAAAAACCCACAAUUGAAGAAGAAGAUGAAAUCUAUGGCGUUUUUGAGUGUUUUUCUUGGAAUUAUAAGAAAUCAAAGUACUAUUGUUUGGGAAUAAAAAUUAAUUGAAAGAUCAAGGGAAUAGCAAAGGACGGCAAUAGCAAACUUUGGAGAGUAACUAUUGUGAAAUAGAACAGGGAAUGGGGUUUAUUAGGUUCAAUUUAAAACAUUGGUAAAACUUCAAUCUAAGUGCUCACUAUUUUAACUUUGUUACAAAUUAGUUCUUUUUCUAAAUUUUAGGUAUUUAAAACUCAUUUUCAGAAAUCGGCUCAAUUCCCUAAUAGCCAUUGUCGAAAACAUUAUUGAAUACUAACCUUACGAAAUUUUGAUUACAUAUAGGCUAAAAUUCCUAAAAAAAAAUUGAAACUCUUAGAUCCUAUUUUGGGGUGUUCACGUAUGGUCAUGAUUCAUGUUGAAUUAAUACAUCAUUCACCGUAAUAAGGCUUAUCGUUGUAAUAAUUAGUUAAAUCACCUAAUAUCUAAAAAAUUAUUAUUAUUUUCAUAAAAUCAUUGAUCAAAUUAUUGUUUUCAAAUUUCAUACAUAAAAUUAACAAAUAAAGAUAGCUCUAAAUAGCAAAACCCAAUAUGUGUAACAAGUAUUUUUAUUAAUCCAUUUGGAAUGUUAAGGUUUGCUGGAGCAAAUAAAUUGAUUAAUGCUUUGAACUUUCCAAACACUUUUUAUAGUUUUGUUAUAUGCAUUUUGUAUAAUUAGUAUAUUUGAAUAUAUUAGAUACAUCGUCUAAAACAAUGCCAAUUGUAAUUUUUUUAUAUUUUGUUGAUCAUAAGCGUAUUAUAUAAAUAAUUUAAAAAAAAAAAGAUGGAGUGAUACAUUUAUGUAGUGCUUAUGAAUAUAAUGUUGGAUUAAAAUCCUUAAUUAUGAGUACAUAUGUAUAUGCUUGAUAUUACAAUUAUCUUAAUAAUUUUGUUUCUGUUCUUGUUGAUUGAUGAUUAUAGAAAUCAUUAUUCUUCUGAAGGCAUACUUUGUUGUCAAUGACAGUACCUGCACCCUAAAAAAGUCACCAGCUUUAACGACUACAAAAGUUGUCCUGCCUGAUAUUUAUUAAAAAAUCACCAGGAAGCACAUUGUCAGGACAUCCUUGCUGGAAAAAAACUUGGUAGGAUGGUUUUUCUGUGCAAACUUAGUAAUUAAUUUAUGUUGUUUUUACCAAACUUUGUAGCGUUUCACUUUUGGUAAAAUUUCAUCCUUGGUCCCUUUAAACUCCUUUUUGCUUUAAUUUGAUUGCUUUCUAGCGUUGCAAAUUACAUAACACUCUUCAAAUGUCUUAUUAAAUUCUCACUUUUACGAGUGCUAUGUUAAUCAAUUUUAAGUUCCAUAUAACACUUACAUGGCUACAAAAUGUGUGUGUGUGUAAGUGUCCUCAACCACAAACAAUCCAAAUUUGCUGAGAAACCACCCAUUAUAUAUAGGUUUGCCAAUGAGAUGGCAAGCAGACUGCUAGCUAGAAAUUCAUGCAUCUUUGAAUCACCAAUUCAAUUAAUAAGCUUAACUAGAGGAAAUAAGGACUUUACACCACCAAUUAAAGCAACCUAUAUGUACCCUUUUACAGUCUGCAUUGUUCCAUGUUUCCAUUCAUUACAUCAUUCCUUCAACUCUGCUAUAUAUUAUUACCGUCUCCAGAAAACCAAACCUUUUACUGCUAACUUGUAAAAAAAUUAUGAAAAUACAACAGAGAUCAUUGAGACAUUGUUGAAGUUGGCUUGCAUGCAGACCAAGAAGCACACCAAGCUGUCCGAGAUAUGCAAGUUGCAGCUGAAGCUUAUGCUGCUGUUUUGUUACUUUCAAAUAGAUAUUUUAUUAUUUACUUAGAUAUGAACUAAGUUGCUGAUAUGCUUGAUGUAAUUAGGAGCUGAUAGAUUGAUAAAUCAGCUUUACCAAGUGUACAAGCAAUGUUUAUCAAGUUACUAAGCCACUUAGUGGAGUUAGGUAUGUGUUUAGGUAACAUUUUCUUAUUUUUGACCAGCUGAUUGCUUGCUAUAUGUAAUGGCAUUGUGCCUUCAUUCAAAUGUAAAGAAAUCUUUCAGAAAAUUCUUCUUCAUUUGGUCUUUACCUAAGCAUUUUUUUUCACGAAGCUCUUGCUGUUUUUGUUUUGUUUGUUGAGCAAGAUAACAAUGCUUUAUGCUUAAGUUUCUGUCAAAAUUUCUCAUUCUGUUUUCUUAGUUCCUACAGACAUUUUGUUCUCCUUUCUCCUUUACUGAGCAGUAGCAAAGAUUAUCGAGACUAAAUUGAAAUCCAUGAAAGAAGACAUAAACAACACCACCAUACAAAAUGUCACACUCAAACAAACCAUUACAGAUACGAAAUGCAAUGAAAGACAGAGGAAUUGGUACAAUAAUAAAGACAGCCAGAUACCAAUGCAACCCUUCACCAUAGGCAAAACGGUCUACAAACAAGAAAUUAUGAAAAAUACAACACUAAUUCUUGAACAUCAUUUGCAGUAAUUAAAUCCUUCUUCGUCUACUGCUGUGAUUGCCUUUCUUUGACUUUCUUCUUCGCCUCUUCUCAUGUUGGUUUUCAACCAAAUUCACCAACCAUUUUGGCUUACCAGUUUGGAAAACAACAUAUCCCACGGACAUUCCGAACACUACUCCGCAUCCAUAACCUAUCAACACCACUUUCCAACCAAAAGCAAUGUUUGAUUUUGAGCCAUCUUUUUCAAGCACAUUUGGAGGUGCUGGAUCAAUGAUGUUGCAACCUUUCGAGACCGGAAACCCACACAGUCCCUUAUUUCCUUCAUAUGAAUCAUUUCCAAAUGUGUUGAAUUGUUUGCCUUGAGGAAUCUGACCAUGGAGUUGAUUUUCAGAAACAUUGAAGGACGAAAGAAAUGGCAGAUCUGCCAAUCUAUUUGGAAUCGUCCCAGACAACCUGUUUGAAGAUAGGUCCAACCAUUCAAGACUUGUCAAAUUCCCUAUUGAGGUGGGGAUAUCACCAAUAAGGUUAUUAUGAGAAAGGUUGAGCCCUUUCAGUAAGUUAAGCUUCCCAAUAACCUUUGGAAUACCCCUUUCAAACUGAUUGUUUGAUAGAUCAAUGAUCAUCCACAUGGUGAAAAUUUUCACCAAUUCCCUAUCUUGUCCUUUCAUAACAAUUCCAAUGGAAUAGGUAUAGAAGCCAACUCCAUAAUCAUGCACCCCCAUGUAUGACACUGUACUACCAAUCUUCUCUAGAUUUAUGAUAGCCUUGAAGCUGUUGAUGUAUCUCACUGGUAGGGGUCCAGAAAAAUAAUUACUUGAGAGAUCAAAAAUUUGGAUUUUAGAGAAAAAAGGGAUAGACUUGGAGCUAUUGACACAUAAGGAACCAUGCAGUUGAUUUGACUUCAAUACAAGAACUUGUAGCUGUGGAAGACUUCCCAACCAGUGAGGAAAUGUAUCAUUGAUCUUGUUGUUACCAAGAUCUAGCACUUCCAGACCUCUACAAUUAAGGAUGGAUGGUGUCAAAGGCCCUUCUAACAGAUUUCCAUUUAAGUUGAAAUUACUCAAUCGGCAUCCCUUUGCAAAUGCUGGAGGAAUCGUCCCAUAAUACUUGUUCUUCUUCAGAUUCAAGAAUAGAAGGCUGUUGCUCAAAUUUCCAAAACAUUGUGGAAUUGUUCCACUCAAGUUAUUGUGGGACAAAUCAAGAAUUUCAAGAAAAGCGGCAUUGCAUAUUAAAGAAGAGACCUCUCCAUUGAAACUAUUAUUUGAGAUCAAAAAGACUCUUAUGGUCGAAGCUGGAAUCGGAAGAUUUCCACUGAUCAAAUUGGAGCUUAAGUCAAGAACAUCAAUAUUCUUCCAUGGAAAGUGCUCAACUUCUGUCAAAGUGUUGUGAGAUACAUUUAAGUGAGUCAAAGAGCCAUUCCCCACCUCUCGCAUCCACUGUGGAAUCUUGCCUUCAAUUUUGUUGCAAGAGAGGUGUUGAAGUAAUGGUCAGCAUGCAGCAACCAAGACUGUCAAAGGCACUACAUGCAGAAGCUGCUGGUUCACCUAGUCAGCAAGCUGUUUAUGUUUCAUUUUGUAAUUUUAAGUUAGAGUAAUGUAACUUAGUUGCUUUAUAACUAUGUUAGGUUUAUGUUUGAUGUAAUUUUGAUGUUGACUGAGCUGAUAAAUCAGCUUUGUUUGUUUAUUCAAGCUAAUUAGCACAAGUUACUAUGUGUAUUAGUGGUAGUAGGUGAAGUUUAGGUCAACCUACUGUUUUGUCAAGAUUGUAAACUUGUUUUAUGUAUUGGCUUUGUGCCAUAUUUAGUUUGAUGAAUGAAUUCAAGAAGUUAUCAUCCAUAUGCUCUCCAUUUUUAGUUUUGCUUAAAAAUCCAUUUGAGUUUUCUGCUUUGUUUCUCCUACAAGUCACGAGACUUGCCAUACAAGCAUUCUGCUGAAGCUUGCUGCUGCUGCCUCUUGCACCAACAAUUGGUAUCUAGAGCCACAUUCUUAGAGGACCUGUUGUAGUUCAGUAUCAAAACGAUGGCAUCAUCAGGUUUUUCACCAGCUUCACCACCUGUCUUCAAUGGAGAGGGCUUCAACAUUUGGGCAGUUAAGAUGAGGACUUACCUGCAGGCAUUCGACCUAUGGGAAGUUGUUAACUCAGAUGCUGAGCCAGCACCUCUUCGAGCUAAUCCAACAGUUGCUCAAAUAAGGCAACACACUGAUGAAAGGACAAAAAGGCACAAGGCCAUGUCAUGCAUACAGAAUUGUGUGACAGAUGUGAUCUUUAUGAGGAUCAUGGCCUGUGAGACACCAAAGGAGGCUUGGGACAAGCUGAAAGAAGAAUUUCAGGGGACUGAGAAAACAAGGCAACAACAGCUGCUCAAUUUGAGAAGAGAUUUCGAAAAUCUCAAAAUGAAAGAGGAAGAAACAGUUAAGCAGUACUCAGACCGGAUUAUGGCUGUUGUAAACAGCAUAAGGCUCCUAGGAGAGCAAUUCAGUGAAGCUAGAAUGGUUGAGAAAGUCAUGUCCACUCUACCAGAGAGGUAUGAAGCUAAAAUUUCAUCCCUCGAAGACUCAAGGGACUUGACAACUAUCUCCUUAACUGAGCUAAUCAAUGCCUUGUAUGCAUAAGAGCAAAGAAGAGCUAGCAGACAAGAGGAGCACCAGGAAGGGGCUUUUCAAGCCAAAGAAGCCUCGAGCAUCAAAACUCAUAAAGGCAAAAAGUUCUGGAAAAACAAGCCUAAGCCUGAUGCUGCUAGGAGCAGUGACCAACUCUGCAGACAUUGUAAAAGAGCUGGUCAUCCAGAAGAUAGAUGCUGGUUUAGACCAGAUGCAGUAUGCCAAAACUGCAAGAAAAAAGGCCAUGUUGAAAAAGUUUGCAAGAAUAGAAGCAAACCAAGACAGAAUCAAUUUCAGCAACAAAAGGUGGAAGCUCGAGUAGCUGAAGAAAGUAGUGAUCAAGAAGAACAUGUUUUUGCUGUGUCAUGUGCAGCAAAUCAGAAGAAGGGUUCAAAGGGCUGGCUUCUAGACAGUGGGUGCACAAACCACAUGUCACCAGAUGCAACUAUCUUCAAAACCCUGGACAGAACCUGCAAAACCAAAGUAAAAAUUGGAAAUGGUCAGUUAAUCAAUGCUGAAGGAAGAGGAGAUGUGCUGAUUCAUACUUCUACAGGUGGCAAAAUCAUUUCAAAUGUACUUUUGGUACCUGAAAUCGAUAGGAACCUUCUCAGUAUAACUCAACUACUUGAGAAAGGUUACUCAGUUGUUUUCAAGGAGAAAGAAUGUCAAAUUUUUGAUCCAAGUGGAUCAAAUCUUAUAACAGUCACCAUGACUGAUAAAUGUUUUGAAGUAGACUGGCCAAAUGACUCACAUUCAGCCUGCAUAGCCUCCACUAAUGACUCGAGACUCUGGCAUCAGAGGCUUGGACAUGCAAACUACAAAUCCAUAGCCCGCAUGGUCAAUGAAGGUCUGGCAGAAAAUUUCAUUGAUUCAGUGAAGAAUGAUGAGCUUUGUGAGAUAUGUCAGCAAGGAAAAUUGGCAAGAUUGCCAUUUCCAACAAGCACAACAUGGAGAGCAUCAGAGAAGCUCCAGCUUGUGCAUACAGAUGUGUGUGGACCAAUGAAGACUGAGUCUCUCAAAGGAAGCAGGUACUUUAUUUUAUUUAUUGAUGACUUAACAAGAUACUGCUGGAUUUAUUUUCUAAAACAGAAAUCAGAAGUACCAUCUAUGUUCCUGAAGUAUAAGGCUGCUGUUGAAACUGAGUCUGGUUGCAAACUUAGAGCAAUGAGGUCAGAUAAUGGAACUGAGUACACCUCAGCUCAGUUCCAAGUCUACUGUGAAGAAGCAGGUAUCAAACACCAGUUGACUAAUGUGUAUACACCCCAACAGAAUGGGGUCAGUGAAAGGAAAAACAGAAGCUUGAUGAACAUGGCAAGAUGUCUUCUGUUUGAGAAGAAUUUGCCCAAAAGUCUGUGGGCUGAAGCUGUUAACACAGCAGUUUAUCUCUAAAAUAGGCUCCCAACCAAGGCUCUGGCUGAGAAGACUCCAUUUGAAGCCUGGUUUGGGUUUAAGCCAUCACUGGCUCAUCUCAGAACCUUUGGUUGUCUGUGCUAUACUCAAGUUCCAGCUGAGAAGAGAAGCAAGCUAGACAAAAGAGCUCAAGCAGGGAUCCUGAUCGGCUACAGCUUGGUUAAGAAGGGCUACAGAAUUCUAGAACCUGCUACAAACAAGAUAUUGGUUAGCAGGGAUGUUGUUUUCAAUGAAAAAGGACACUGGAAUUGGGAGAAGGCUGAACCAGAGGCAGUGGCUGAAGAUCUGGCAGUGGACCAAGUUGAAAAUGGUGAAAACACACCUGAAAUGGAUGUAGAUGAUGUUCCAAUCAGAGGCACUCGAUCACUGGCUGAUGUUUAUGAAAGAGCACAAGUGGCUACUGUUGAACCAAAUUGCUUUGAAGAAGCAGAAAACCAGGAGGACUGGAAGCAAGCAAUGAUUGAAGAAAUCAGAAUGAUUGAAAAGAAUCAGACCUGGAGUCUGGUUGAUAAACCAACAAACAGGAAGAUUAUUGGUGUCAAAUGGGUUUAUCGAGUAAAGAACAAUGCUGAUGGUAGCCUAAACAAGUUAAAGGCUAGAUUGGUUGUGAAAGGCUUCAGUCAAAGGUAUGGAUCAGACUACCUGGAAACCUUUGCACCAGUGGCCAGGUUAGACACUAUUAGACUGCUAGUUGCCUUAGCAGCACAAAAACAGUGGCUGAUACACCAACUUGAUGUAAAAUCAGCAUUUCUGAAUGGAUUCCUUGAAGAGGAGAUUUAUGUGGAGCAACCUCAAGGUUUCAAGGUGUCUGGCAAAGAAGAUAUGGUGUACAAGCUCAACAAAGCCUUGUAUGGCUUGAAACAGGCUCCAAGGGCCUGGUAUAGCAGAAUAGAUGGCUAUCUGACCAGUCAAGGAUUUGAAAGAAGUCUUAGCGAGCCAACUCUGUAUGUUAAAUCAACUAGUGCUGAAACUCAGCUCAUUGUCUCAAUAUAUGUCGAUGACCUACUGGUGACAGGAGGAGAUCAUGAGAUGCUAAGCAGUUUUAAAGUCAAAAUGCAACAGCACUUUGAAAUGUCAGACUUGGGAUUGAUGUCUUACUUCUUAGGCAUGGAAGUAACUCAAGCUAAGAAUGGGAUUUGGCUAAGUCAAAAGACCUUUGCUAUGAAGGUUCUCAACAAAUUCUCAAUGGAGAAUUGCAAAGCAACCAGCACACCAGUUGCUGUUGGAGAAAAACUCUCGAGCCAAGACAAGCAUGAAAAGGUUUGUGAAACAACCUAUCGAAGUCUAGUUAGAUGUUUGUUGUAUUUGACUGCUACUAGACCUGACAUAAUGUAUGCUGUGAGUCUACUCUCGAGGUUUAUGCAUUCUUCAAAUGAAAGUCAUUUUAGAGCUGCAAAAAGGGUUCUAAGAUACAUCAAAGGAACUUUGUCCUAUGGAAUGCAGUUUACCAAGGCUGAGAACUUGAGGCUAGUUGGAUAUUGUGACAGUGAUUGGGCUGGUUCUUUGGAUGACAUGAAGAGCACUACAGGUUAUGCAUUCAACAUAGGCUCUGCUAUGAUAUGCUGGAGCUCAAAGAAGCAAGGAGUAGUGGCUCAGUCGACUGCAGAAGCAGAAUAUGUGGCUGCUGCUGCAGCAGUCAAUCAAGCCAUAUGGCUUAGAAAAAUUUUGAAAGAUAUCAAUCAUGAGCAAAAGGAAGCAACUGAGAUAAUGUCUGACAACCAAUCAGCAGUUGCUAUUGCAAAGAAUCCUGUUUUUCAUGGAAGGACCAAGCACUUCAACAUCAAACUUCAUGCAGUUCGGGAAAUGGAACAAGCUCAUGUUGUUAAGCUGAUACAUUGCAGUUCUGAAGAGCAAAUUACUGAUAUUUUAACAAAAGCACUAAGUGUUUCCAAGUUUCAACACCUGAGAGCUAAUAUGGGAGUUUGCAACAUGCUAACCAAGGAGGAGUGUUGAAGUAAUGGUCAGCAUGCAGCAACCAAGACUGUCAAAGGCACUACAUGCAGAAGCUGCUGGUUCACCUAGUCAGCAAGCUGUUUAUGUUUCAUUUUGUAAUUUUAAGUUAGAGUAAUGUAACUUAGUUGCUUUAUAACUAUGUUAGGUUUAUGUUUGAUGUAAUUUUGAUGUUGACUGAGCUGAUAAAUCAGCUUUGUUUGUUUAUUCAAGCUAAUUAGCACAAGUUACUAUGUGUAUUAGUGGUAGUAGGUGAAGUUUAGGUCAACCUACUGUUUUGUCAAGAUUGUAAACUUGUUUUAUGUAUUGGCUUUGUGCCAUAUUUAGUUUGAUGAAUGAAUUCAAGAAGUUAUCAUCCAUAUGCUCUCCAUUUUUAGUUUUGCUUAAAAAUCCAUUUGAGUUUUCUGCUUUGUUUCUCCUACAAGUCACGAGACUUGCCAUACAAGCAUUCUGCUGAAGCUUGCUGCUGCUGCCUCUUGCACCAACAAGAGGUCUAAGCUUUCCAAACUUUUAAGCCCUUUUAAAAAUUGGGGGAAUUCACUAAGAUUGCAAGAUGACAAAAAUAAGCUUGUAAGAUUAACAGUAGAAGUUGUAUUAGAUGUUAAGGAUAGGCUGUUAUAUGAAAGGUCAAGAUAUUCGAGAUUUGGAAGGUUUGAGAACAUGCGAAACUCUAUGACACCACUAAGAUAAUUUGAGGAUAAGCUAAGUUGGGUAAGAUUGAGAAGUUGGAAUAUUGAAGAUGGAAGAGGACCUUGGAGUUUAUUAUUCUCUAACCAUAUCCAUUCUAGUGAUUUGGAUUGGAAUUCUUUGAUAUGCCCACUGAAUUGAUUUUGAGAGAGAUAUAUUGUCUUUAAGGAGGGAGCAAUAUACAACCAUGACGGAAGUGUUCCAUUGAGUAAAUUGUCAGAUAAGUCUAAAUAUAUUAGAUUAUGAAAAGCGGUUACCUCAUCUGGAAUGGAACCUUCUAAAGAAUUGUUAGAUAUUGUCAAGUAUUCCAGCUGCGUUAGGUUUAGAAUUGACAAUGGAAUUUGUCCACUCAAUUUGUUCCAUCCCAAGUCUAAAACAGUGAGUUGCAAGAGGUUCCCCAAUGAUCUUGGAAUCUGUCCACUCAAUUGGUUCAGCCACAAGUCUAAAUGAGUGAGUUGCAAGAGGUUCCCUAAUGAUCUUGGAAUUUGUCCACUCAAUUGGUUCUUCGACAAGUCUAAAUGAGUGAGUUGCAAGAGGUUCCCCAAUUUUCUUGGAAUUUGUCCACUCAAUUGGUUCUCCGACAAGUCUAAAUGAGUGAGUUUCAAGAGAUUCCCCAGUGAUCUUGGAACCAGUCCUGAUAAGUUGGAAUGGGAGAGAACUAAAAACUUCAAGGACACAAGAUUCCCCAUCGAGUCAGGCAAUCCUCCACAAAUAUUUGCGUCUGAAAUUAUCAAUUGUUCAAGAUUGCUGCUCCGAUUGAACUUCAAAGGAUCAAGAUUGAGGUUUUGGUUGCCUCCCAAGUUGAGGAGAUUGAGGUUUGGCAAAUCAAAAAUGUUUUUUGGGAAUUUUCCUUGCAAAUCACAACCAACAAGACUGAGAGACCUUAGAGAAGAGGAUAGAUUCAUGAAGACAUGAGCAUUAACUGAAGACAUGUCCAUUUCAUCCAAAAACAGACGUCUGACCUCGGUUAGGUUGUGAACAAGACCCUCCAGAGCAUAUUUGUCAAUUGUUAAUAGUUCAUCAAACCCAGAAAGAUCAAGUGAAACCAAUUUUGACAGGUGGGAGACUUGGGAUGGGACUUCUGAAAACCAUGUAUUGGAAAGGUUGAGGUAGAAUAGGCUUGUAAACCGACCGAACUCGGAUGGAAUUUUGGAAGAAUUAAAAUCAUUGUAGGCAAGGUUGAGUUUUUGAAGGUGAGGAAGAAGGAAGAGAGUGGUAUUGGAAGGGAAGGUGCCAUAUAGCCAACUGCAGCUCAAGUCAAGGGCAAUAACAUGAGCAUUUAGGUGGUCACAAGUGACCCCAUCCCAUGAGCAGCAAUCUGUACCCUCCUUCCAUGAAUUUGUCUUGGGAUAAGAUUUAAGGCCAGCAAAAUAAUCGCAAUGAUCAAAAGAAGCAUCCUCUCUUAUGGAAAAGGAGUCCUUAAACUGGAUUAGUGAAGAGCAGGAGUGAGAUCCUGAAGAAGAAAAAGAAGCAUAAAGAUGGAGAAAGAAGAGGAAUAGGGAGAGAAAGAGAUAG
rnacentral:lncRNA from 1 species